rnacentral:rRNA from 1 species
GACCAGACUCCUACGGGAGGCAGCAGUGGGGAAUAUUGGGCAAUGGGCGCAAGCCUGACCCAGCAACGCCGCGUGAAGGAAGAAGGCUUUCGGGUUGUAAACUUCCUUUCUGAGGGACGAAGAAAGUGACGGUACCUCAGGAAUAAGCCACGGCUAACUACGUGCCAGCAGCCGCGGUAAUACGUAGGUGGCAAGCGUUAUCCGGAUUUAUUGGGUGUAAAGGGCGUGUAGGCGGGAAAGCAAGUCAGAUGUGAAAACUCAGGGCUCAACCCUGAGCCUGCAUUUGAAACUGUUUUUCUUGAGUGCUGGAGAGGCAAUCGGAAUUCCGUGUGUAGCGGUGAAAUGCGUAGAUAUACGGAGGAACACCAGUGGCGAAGGCGACUAUCUGGCACAUAACUGACGCUGAGGAGCGAAAGCGUGGGUAGCAAACAGGAUUAGAUACCCUGGUAAC